CCCGGAGCCGCCGGCAGCCCUUUCCGCGGCCCCCGCCUGCCCCUGAGGCCGCCUCGCUGCGCGGAGCUUCGUCUGGCAGCCCGGAGGGGACUCAAGAUGGUUCCUCCCCUCAGCCUCGCGGCGGCUCGGGAGAGGCGUCCCGAGGGAAUACGAGUCGGGAUAGUCCGGCUGCGGCCCAUGCCCCUCACGGCGGCCCGUGCCCCUCACGGCGGCCCGUGCCCCUCACGGCGGCCCGUUCUCACAGUCACGCCCGGGUGAUGGGGCUCUUCUCAAACAGCGGCAGCCGUGGCGUUCCCCAGGCUCAGACCUGCGCUCGCAAGCCUGGCCGAGACUGAUAAAUCUUUCAUGCGCUCACACAGGCUGUUUCUCUCAGCAGAGCAGAAUAAGAAAGUUUACACAGCAAGUUGUGGCUGAAGAACAGCAACUUCACUUAGAAAGGAAGGACUGAAACUCUGUGAGUUCUGCAGCUUGACAGGUCCCAAUCCAUUGCCUGAACAUGAAGGUUUGUCUUUGGAGUUCCCAAAAGCUCCUCUUGGGAGUGCACAGUGCUCUCCUGAUCCGAGUGAGUUUGGGAGUACCCUCACACCACAUAGUUGUGUCUGUGAUGGAAGCUGCAUUAACUGUUUCAAUGGAGGAAGAAGGUCCUGCCAGCCCCAUGAUUAAUUGAUGAAACCUCAUUUCUGUUCCCAGUUGGAUGACUUGGCUUGAACUUUGAGCAAAGACUAAUCACUGGAUUUAUCUCCAUCUCUAGAAUCAUGGGCUUCUUUCUCUGCACUGCCUGUAUUACAAGUGUAACCAGCUUCCCUCUGCUGUAUUUUUGUUCUCCCUUGCCCAAACAGAUGGGUUCCCUUCCUUUACUAUUGUGAGCAGAGGCAGAUGCAAAUAAAUAGGCACUUGUGCUCUGCUGUGUGGUUA